GUGGGGAAUUUUGGACAAUGGGCGCAAGCCUGAUCCAGCCAUGCCGCGUGAGUGAAGAAGGCCUUCGGGUUGUAAAGCUCUUUCGGCCGGGAAGAAAUCGGCGACUCUAACAUAGUCGCUGGAUGACGGUACCGGACUAAGAAGCACCGGCUAACUACGUGCCAGCAGCCGCGGUAAUACGUAGGGUGCGAGCGUUAAUCGGAAUUACUGGGCGUAAAGCGUGCGCAGGCGGUUUUGUAAGACAGAUGUGAAAUCCCCGGGCUUAACCUGGGAACUGCGUUUGUGACUGCAAGGCUAGAGUACGGCAGAGGGGGGUGGAAUUCCUGGUGUAGCAGUGAAAUGCGUAGAUAUCAGGAGGAACACCGAUGGCGAAGGCAGCCCCCUGGGCCUGUACUGACGCUCAUGCACGAAAGCGUGGGGAGCAAACAGGAUUAGAAACCCGUGUAGUCC
rnacentral:rRNA from 1 species